rnacentral:rRNA from 1 species
CCUACGGGGGGCAGCAGUGGGGACUAUUGCACAAUGGGGGAAACCCUGAUGCAGCGACGCCGCGUGAGUGAAGAAGGAAUUCGGUAUGUAAAGCUCUAUCAGCAGGGAAGAAAAUGACGGUACAUGAGUAAGAAGCCCCGGCUAACUACGUGCCAGCAGCCGCGGUAAUACGUAGGGGGCAAGCGUUAUCCGGAUUUACUGGGGGUAAAGGGAGCGUAGACGGCAGUGCAAGUCUGGAGUGAAAGGCGGGGGCUCAACCCCCGGACUGCUCUUGAAACUGUACGGCUGGAGUGCAGGAGAGGUAAGUGGAAUUCCUAUUGUAGCGGUGAAAUGCGUAGAUAUUAGGAGGCACACCAGUGGCGAAGGCGGCUUACUGGACUGUAACUGACGUUGAGGCUCGACAGCGUGGGGAGCAAACAGGAUUAGAUACCCCUGUAGUC